CGCACGGGUGAGUAACACGUAUCCAACCUGCCGUCUACUCUUGGCCAGCCUUCUGAAAGGAAGAUUAAUCCAGGAUGGCAUCAUGAGUUCACAUGUCCGCAUGAUUAAAGGUAUUUUCCGGUAGACGAUGGGGAUGCGUUCCAUUAGAUGGUAGGCGGGGUAACGGCCCACCUAGUCAACGAUGGAUAGGGGUUCUGAGAGGAAGGUCCCCCACAUUGGAACUGAGACACGGUCCAA
rnacentral:rRNA from 1 species